rnacentral:rRNA from 1 species
GGGGAAUAUUGCGCAAUGGGGGAAACCCUGACGCAGCAAUGCCGCGUGAGUGAGGAAGGCCUUCGGGUUGUAAAGCUCUGUCAGAUGGGAAGAAACCUACUUGGUCUAAUAGGCCUUGUAACUGACGGUACCAUCAAAGGAAGCACCGGCUAACUUCGUGCCAGCAGCCGCGGUAAUACGAAGGGUGCAAGCGUUGUUCGGAUUUACUGGGCGUAAAGCGCGCGCAGGCGGAUUAAUAAGUCAGAUGUGAAAUCUCGGGGCUCAACCCCGAAACUGCGUCUGAAACUGUUGAUCUAGAGUUAUGGAGGGGAGAAGGGAAUUUCGCAUGUAGGGGUAAAAUCCGUAGAGAUGCGAAGGAACACCAGAGCCGAAGGGGCUUCUCUGGCCAUACACUGACGCUGAGGCGCGAAAGCGUGGGUAGCAAAC